rnacentral:misc_RNA from 1 species
GUGAUUAAAUCGAGCUGUGUCUUCAUUGACCGCUCACCCCUUCUCACCAUCCACAUACACCUGUGCACUGUUAGCCUGAGCCGGUUUUCCGGUCCAGGUUAUCAUUCAUACAAACUCUAGUCUUAUGAAUGUAAACGUUUUAAUAACAUAAUA